GCCCUGUUGGCCAAGUGGUAAGGCGUCGCACUCGUAAUGCGAAGAGCGCAGUUUCGAUUACUGCACAGGGCA
rfam:Nectria haematococca mpVI 77-13-4 chromosome 2 genomic scaffold NECHAsca_18_chr2_1_0, whole genome shotgun sequence.